rnacentral:lncRNA from 1 species
AAAAGCAAGUUUUGUACUUUUGUUUGAAAAUAUUGUUGAGGAAAUAGGCGAGAAGAAAUAAAAGUCAAACAAAAAAAUCUAGAUCUGAAGUGAGUAGAUUUCUUUACUUUCAAACAUUUAAUUUAGUAGCAAUAGUAGGUUUGCUUUUGAAAUCCGUUAAUUAUACAAUCUUUGUUAUAAGACUCAUUCCAGUCACAAUCUGCAAGUGCAGAUAUAUGCUUCUGGAUACUUUUUCCAUCAAAGCACAGAGAAAUGGGGUUUUUCAUUUGAUUCUGCUGCGCUGUCAUUGUGGGUUAUUACUGUCUGACAAUUAGGUGAUUUUAUAUGUCAUCUUUAUGACAUAUCUCCAUUUUUGGCAUGGUUUUUACUGGGAAACAUGAUGUAAAAGAAAUAGUCUAGGCUAAGUAACAUAAGUAAGCCGUAAUACUUGACGAAAUCCGUCAGUGAAAAGCCCCAAUGGGCAGUGAGCCGAAUAAUAAUGGCAUAUACAUGCAUGUAAUGUAAAUGCAUUUUCAUCUGUCUUAUCUUAUAUUGAUUAUACUCUUUAACCCUUCAAGUAGCAAUGUGCCCUGAUGCACCCUAGUUUAACCUAUCUGACACCAAACCAUUUUACUCAUCAAGGAGAGUGUGCUGCCACUGAUUGUGUUAAUGUGGUUUUCAAAUUCUGUUUCUACUUGAUUUUUACUGCAUUAACAAUAACAAGGUCACUUUUGUAUUUACAUUAUAAAAGCAUACGUAUUUUACACACACACAUCCUAACUCUCAGGUGUUUAUCUUCACACUAGAAUAGCUGAAUUGUUGAAGAUCGUCCAAUUUUUUAUAUUUUUCAGGUAGUUUUUAGUAUACAAUUAAGCUUUUAAAGUACAUGAAAUCAUGUCUGAUCACUGUGGAAAGAGACUGAUAAGAGAUGAGAGAGCACACACUGGAAACAAAGCUUCUGAAUACCAUGUUUGUAAGAAGAGAUUUACAUGCUCAAGCAGCUUGUUUCUGCAUAAAAGAACACACAUUGGAGACAAACUUUAUGAAUGCGAUAUUUGUAAGAAAAGAUUUACACAGUCAGCAGGCUUGUUGCGACAUAAAAGAAUACACAGUGGAGACAAACCUUAUGAAUGUGAUGUUUGCAAGAAGAGAUUUACACAGUCAACAGGCUUGGUGCGACAUAAAAGAACGCACAGUGGAGACAAACCUUAUGAAUGCAAUAUUUGUAAGAAGAGAUUUACACAGUCAGCAGGCUUGGUGCGACAUAAAAGAACGCACAGUGGAGACACACCUUAUGAAUGCGAUAUUUGUAAGAAGAGAUUUACACGCUCAAGCAGCUUGGUUCUGCAUAAGAGAACACACAGUGGAGGCAACAUUUAUGAAUGUGAUGUCUGUAAGAAGAGAUUUACACAGUCAACAGGCUUGGUGCAACAUAAAAGAAUACACAGUGGAGACAAACCUUAUGAAUGUGAUGUUUGCAAGAAGAGAUUUACACAGUCAACAGGCUUGGUGCGACAUAAAAGAACGCACAGUGGAGACAAACCUUAUGAAUGCAAUAUUUGUAAGAAGAGAUUUACACAGUCAGCAGGCUUGGUGCGACAUAAAAGAACGCACAGUGGAGACACACCUUAUGAAUGCGAUAUUUGUAAGAAGAGAUUUACACGCUCAAGCAGCUUGGUUCUGCAUAAGAGAACACACAGUGGAGGCAACAUUUAUGAAUGUGAUGUCUGUAAGAAGAGAUUUACACAGUCAACAGGCUUGGUGCAACAUAAAAGAAUACACAGUGGAGACAAACCUUAUGAAUGCGACAUUUGUAAGAAGAGAUUUACACAGUCAACAGGCUUGGUGCAACAUAAAAGAACACACAGUGGAGACAAACCUUAUGAAUGCGACAUUUGUGAGAAGAGAUUUACACAGUCAACAGGCUUGGUGCAACAUAAAAGAAUACACAGUGGAGACAAACCUUAUGAAUGCGACAUUUGUAAGAAGAGAUUUACACAGUCAGCAGGCUUGUUGCAACAUAAAAGAACACACAGUGGAGACAAACCUUAUGAAUGCGAUAUUUGUAAGAAGAGAUUUACACAGUCAGCUGGUUUGGUGCAACAUAAAAGAACACACACUGGAGACAAACCUUAUGAAUGCGAUGUUUGUAAAAAGAGAUUUACACGCUCAAGCAGCUUAGUUCUGCAUAAAAGAACACACAGUGGAAACAAACCCUAUGAAUGUGCUGUUUGUAAGAAGAGAUUUGCGCAGUUAAGCACAUUAGUUAGACAUAAAAAAUUGCACACUGGCGAAAAACCUUAUGAAUGUGAUGUUUGUAAGGAAAGAUUUACACGCAAACUAUCUCUUGUUUGGCACGAAAAGCAACAUUUGUUGUGCAACUCUUGCACCAGCGAGAUUGUUCAACCUGAAGAUUUGAAAGAACAUUUUGUCGAGGAUAAACAGAAUGGAAAAUACGUGUGCAGUAAAUGUGACAAAUGUCUUUAUAAUUUUAUGAAAUUAUUACAACAUAUUGCAAAGCAGCAUGGUAGUGAUGGAAAAUAUCUAUGUGGUUUAUGUCAAGAACUGGAAUCAACAGAACCAACUGGUGUUGGAUAUGUUUGUUGUGUUUGUGAUGUUGUGUUUGAUGUUCCCAGAAAACUCGAAGAUCACAUCGCCACCCAUGACACAAUGCAACCUCUUGAAUAAGUUUCUACUAUUGCGCUUUCAGGAGUCUUGUGAAAUGUUUCUGUGUAGGAUCUGGGUUACUUUCCAGUCAAUAGUUUUAUAUUUUGGGAUAGCGUUAUAUAAAUUUAUCUAGCAAUGUGAUAAAUGUUUAAAUGUAUGAUUAUAUAGUAUUUAUGCAAUGUUAGUUGGGAUAUGUCAAGGGGAGUGGUUACAUUUUGAUCUGCCCAACAAAAAACGAUUUGCCUGACAUAAUUUAAAAACAAUCUAUUGCUACAAAAUUAGUAGCAAAAAUAAUGUUCGUAGCCACUUGAGGAUUUGAAAGUAAUUAUAGGUCGUUUGCACCAGAGUGUUUGAAAGUUACUUCGAGCAAAAUUUCAAAUAGGCGUGAACAUUGGAAUAUUACAUUAUCUUGAACGUUGAAAUUUUGUUUAGGAGCAUAAUUUUCUUGAAUUGUGAUUUUUUUUGACAUUGGUGAUUUUGAAGUUGGUUGUUAUUUUGGUGACUUUCCUGGGGUUUCAGAAGGAUAUUUCGAGCUAACAAAUGUAAAUGUUUACGAUGAUAUAUUAAGUAAUUAAAAUGAAAUAAGCUCACUACAAAAUUGACGAGAUAAUUAUAUAACAUUGGCCUGAGCAUGGAGAACAUAACACAAUAUUUUUUAAAAUAAUAC